UGAACUCGGAGGCUUAACCGACUGCGCCACCCAGGCACCCCAGGAGGUUACUAAUUUAAACAACAGACUAGUGGUAGACCACAUGGCCAUGACCCCGUGGACAGAAAAAACCACUUCUGCUUUUUGUACGACAUCACCCGCGUUCUCCACGUCUUUUUUCGUCAAACACGCACGUGCACCUUGAGAAAGGAGCUGGUGGCAGGGCAGGACUGAAAACCGGGCUUGUUUGUCCUUGGAAGCUCGGCCCGAUUUGUAGUUUGCCUUUUCUUCCAUGACUUAUUUCCAAAUGUCACAGCGUGAGGGGCCGUUUUUCGAUGCACCGGAAGCGGAACACUGACACCGGUUCUGCCUCCCGGAGGAUAAGGGGGAAGGAGAGUAUUUAUGGGAUUUUACGAGGGGGGCGGGGAGCUGGAAGGUGGAUGGAGGUGAUUGGAAGUUGGGAAGUGGGGAGGUACAGGGGAGGCCCUCACCGCUUCUGCGCAGGCGCCGCCCAGCGACCCAGGCUUUUAUUUCCUAUGUGCCAAGGGUGGAGGCGCUGGCGUGACCUUGGUGGGGAGGUCUCGCCUGUGUGGUCGCAGAGGUUACUUUUGUUCCCUCUCGGUCCCUUCUGCGCAGCUGCCAGACUUCUUCCCGGUUGGUUCCUGUCUUCCUUGGUCUUGUGACCAUCGGUCAAGUUUCUGCAAAACAGGCUCCUAAGUCAAUUAGGUUGAACAGAGUGUGCUUGGGGUCGAACGGUCAGGCGCGUGUUCAUGUGUCGGUUUCACAGAUCGUCCCCAGAUCCCGGGGUCGGUCUGGGAGAGCUGUUGUAGCCACAUUGGCCAGUGCCUGUAUUCCCCGUGUUACUCUGAGCUCCAAGGAGUUUCCGUGGGUUUCUUUGAGGGCUGCGUCCCAGCGCCCAGGGCGCCACCAAGAGAGCCCUCGCCAGUCACAACUGGCCACUGACCUGCCUCCAGGAAAUAACGUUUUUGCCUCAUCUGAUUCGAUAUAAUCUCCUCUUUCUCAAGUCCCGAAUCUGAGAAGAGAGUGAGGCAAGACCUGGCACGUUUGGUCACUUAGUUUUUCUCUUGCCUUUCAGUUGGUCAGGAAGUGAAUGGAGUGGCUUCCUCUGGGUGCUGUUUCCACCCCGCAUGAAAGGGCAGCGGCUCGUGGCAACAUAUGUGGGAGGAACUUUGCAGACUUAAAGGAUUUAUGGGAAAUUACAAACAGACUGGCCCGUGGAGCCCAGAGGCAAGUGAGGAUAAUUGGAAUCCUGUUCACCGAAGAGAUAUGAGGCGCUUCCAUAUUUGUUAAUCACAAAUUUCUCCCUUUUUAUUCCCCACAGAGCAAUCUGUCUCCAUAGAUAUUUAUAGUUCAGACUCCCAGAGGGUGCUAGCCUCCCAUCCUUGCUGCUGGGUAGUUUUCUUCUGCUGACGGAACAGACUAGAGGUGCUAACCCCUGUCCGGAGGGCUCCCGUUAGAGAGGGCAGACAGGCCACCUGCCUGUUAGGUGGCCCAGAGCCACCUGGGGCUUCCAGGAGGAGGGGAAGCGUCUAGUCUCCGUGUUGGAAAAAGCAAAUUCGUAGCAGAGACGUUUUCCCGGUCUGCUCUCCUCACUUUGGAAGAAGCUUGGCAACCCAGGUUAGUGUCUUUUUUAAAACGAUGCCGUCCCCACUGUUAAAACCCCCAAUUCAACUAAGUGAAAGUUAAAGGGUCUUAUUGGCUUCCUGGGACAAUUCAUGAAGAGGGCAGCAUUCCACCCAGCGGACAGAAAGAAGAUCUGAGGGCCUCUACAGUUUGAAGGACGUUUACAGGCAGAAGGGGGCAGGAACAAGGACGUUAUGCUAGCAAAAACAGAUUGGCUGUGCCAAGUCAUUUUCCUGUAGGGGACAACCGUGGUCUAUCAGGCAGAUAACCUCACCAGUGGUGACCAGAUGAUUCCCGAUGGACCGGUUUCAGAUCACACUUCUGGAAGAGGCUGAGACCAUAACGAAGGAUCAGUCGGAGAGAAACGAGGCCGAGAGUGGGUCGCAUGGGAGCCGUUACAUUGAUCUAGAAGACUUUGCAAGGGGAUAGUCACAGAACUCAGAAAGUGAUUACACGGGAUGGAGGAGGCAGGGAGAGAGCCAAAGACGAAUCAAGGUGACAAGUCAAAGUGGCGGAGAGAGUAAAGAUGCCAUUGUACAGAGAAGACAGAAAGAGGGACAGAUCUCUGAUAGGGGAUUGGAAAAUGCAAGCUGGGGGUCGCCUCGGUGGCUCAAGUCGGUUAAAGUGUCCAACUCUUGAUUUCGGCUCUGGUCAGGAUCUCACGGUUGGUGAGUUCAAGCUCCACAUCAGGCUCUGCUUGGGAUUCUGU